rnacentral:misc_RNA from 1 species
AACGCACCUUGCGCCCUUUGGUAUUCCGAAGGGCAUGCCUGUUUGAGUAUCAUGAACACCUCAACUCUUCAUGGUUUUCCAUGAUGAGCUUGGACUUUGGGGGUCUUGCUGGCCUGCGGUCGGCUCCUCUCAAACAAAUCAGCUUGCCAGUGUUUGGUGGGCAUCACAGGUGUGAUAACUAUCUACGCUUGUGGUCUUCCACCAGGUAACCUUCAGCAGUGGAGGUUCGCUGGAGCUCACAGAUGUCUCUCCUCAGUGAGGACAGCCCUUUGAAUGUUUGAUCUCAAAUCAGGUAGGACUACCCGCUGAACUUAA